UAAAAACCUUUUAAAAGGAAACACACGGAC
rnacentral:piRNA from 1 species